ACAAGCCUGGGGACUGCAGGCACAGUGAGGAAGGUAGGGAAGGGUCUCUCCAAGACAGGCCCACCAGGAGCCCCCACUGGGAAUAAUGCAGCCCCUCUCAGGGGAUGGAGUGUCUGGAAUUCCAUGGCUGAGGUGCAACAGGUCCCACAGCCUCUCCAGCCUCUGUGGGAAGAAGGAUCAUCUGAUGCCUAUGUAAUAGAGUUGCUGAAGGAGUGGAAGCAGCUUUGACAUUAUCAGUGGAACCCACCAGUGCAGACUGCUUCACCAAGGGCACCUGAGGCAGCAGAUCUGAGGAUUAGGGACGUAGGGAGCUGAAGCCUGGCUGGAGAGGUGGUGCGCACAAGAACCCCCACAUUCCCCGACAGGAGCCUGAAAAAGACGCCAUGUUGGGAGGACACGGAAGCAGUUCUAGGGAGAGGAGCACAUGGCAAGAAGCCAAGGCCUCCUGCCCACAGCCGCCUAGUUUCUUUUGCAGAUACCCUGUGAUUGCCAGCAAGUAAACCAGAUGCAAUUGUGGUUUCCGUGAAGCACAGCUGGAAAACUGCUGCCCCCACGGAGGAAGAGGAAGAUGGGAAGAUGGUGGUUACUGCACACCAGGCACCAGCCUCGGGGCUAUGAGCUGUACAAACAUUACCCAUUUUAUCCUCGUGACCAUGUUCUGAGAAGGCUGUCAAUGAUCUCACUUUAUACAUGGGGAAAUUCAUGCAGACAGAGGCUGACUAAAUUGCCAUGGUCACUCAGCUAGUAGGAACUGGAGCUGUAACUUGAACCCGGGUCUUUUGUUUCUGUGGCUCCUGGUAGCACAUGCCGGGCUUGAAGUGAGAUCCGGAGGAUGUUGGAAACAACGUGUUCCCCAUCAUGAAAGUCCUUAUGAUACCUUAUGAUGCAGAGUUGGCAGCCAGGAGCAGGGGCUUCCAGAAGCAUGGCUGACCCUUGUUGGGAUCUCGCUCCUGUGAGCCUUGGAACGUCUAGGGAGAAAGAGCAGCCAAAUUUAGAGCUGCAGGAGCUUUGAGAUGCAGCUCAGGCAUCAUCUCUGGGAAGUCUUUCCUGGAACCACAGCCUGGGCCCUGUACCUGAUUCCCAGCCCCUGUGGCUCUUUUUGCAUUUGCUGCCUCUUUUCACAAUUCUGUCUCCUUAUGUCUUCCACUCUACACGCAAGCCCCUUGAGGGCAGGACCAUGACUCAGUCAUCCUGUACCCUAGCACCCACCCUGGGUCUGCAUCUGGAAGGAGCUCACUAAGUGAUUAUUGAGCCAAACUGAACUGUAGCAGGAGUGAGCAAAGCUAAUUCAUGGGUGCAGAAUGGGAGCACAGAGCUGCCAGAAUCCAGAGACAACUGUAACUGUCCCGGCACAGGGGGCUUCAGGCCGCGGUGAGAGCCACUGAAAGCAAGAGAGCCAGGUGGUGGCUCAGUUCACACUGAGUCCUGCUGAAGAAAUAGGCACAUCGUGUGUGUUAAAAUCAGCACCCCAUGCACCUGUAGGAAGAGACUGAGGCACCCUGGAGGCCCCUCCCAAUAAUUAAAAGGCCCUCUGGGGCCUGUGGGAGCCCUAGCUGAUGAAAUCACAAAGGCCUCAGCCUCUAAAGUGUUUCCAGUAAAAUGCUACCAGGAUUUUCCUCCCUUAAAUCUGGAUGAAAGGGCUGUCUGUGCUACAAAGUGCACACCUGGCGUUGAUACGCAGUCUCUUGCUGCCUGUUAACUAACCCACCAGCCGACAAGUUCUGCCCACUGGCAGGAGCAAGGACUUAUAAAAAAUAGUGCCUCCCUCCCAAGGGCUUAUGAGCUGGUUAAGUGCAGAGGACAAAUAGAAUGAAAGAAAAGGCAAUCUCGGCAUAGUAUUUAGUUAAUUCUUCUCUCUCUCUUGUUCCCUCUCUCUCCUUUCUCUCUUCCUCCCUCCUUUCUAUGACUUGUCCUCUCCACACAACUCCUUUUCCGUUUUCCCUCCCCUGCCUCCCCACCUUCUUUCUUGACUUCCCAUCUUGCUCCCUUUCUUCCUGCCUGCCCAUCUGCUUUCCUUUCUUAUCUCUGGUGCAAAUUCUGCAUAUAGUCGCUCUCCUCAUUUCAUGACAGGCUGUCUUCAUCAGUUUCUGAGUUCUUUUGUUAUUUUAUAAAAUAUUUUACAUGCUGUCCUCAAAAAAUCCCCUCCCCCAGAAAAGGCCCAUUCAAAAGUACUUACUAUACGUCCUUAGAUAGGCAAUGAUCUCUGAAAUAUAUAUAGGCUUGCUCUAUAUGUGUUUUUGUAAGUGUACUUUUCUUUCAUUAAAUAUGCAGAUCUUAAUUGUACAGUUUGAGGUGUUUUGACAAAGGUAUAUACCAGUAAAACCACCACCCCAACCAAGGUACCGAACACUUUCAUCUCUCUGGAAAGUCCCCUUGUGCCACCUUCCAGUCAACUCUCACCCUCCAGAGGCACCCACUGUUCAGAUUUCUACAUGCAUUUUGCCUGUUGCUGAACUGGAACCUCACAGCCUUUUACGUCUGGCUUCUUUCACUUAACAUAAUGUUUUUAAGUCAUCCAUGUAGUUCAUUCUUUUUUUUGUUGCAGAGCAAUAUUCCAUUGUGUGAAUGGAUGUACUUUAUCCAUCAACAGUUGAUGAAGUUGGGUUGGUGGCACUUUUUGGCUAUCGUGGGUAAUGCUGCUCUGGAUGUUUCUGCACAAGUCUUUAUUGUGGACAUGGGUUUCCAUUUCUUCUGGGCAAAUGCCCAGGAACAGAAUUGCUGAUUCAUUAGGAAGUUAUAUGUUUAACUUCAUAAGAAACUGGAAAACCGCACUCCACAGUGUUCAUGCUAUUGCACAUUGCCCCCAGUGCCAUGUGAAUGUUUCAUUCUUGGGGUCUAGAAUAUCUUACUGCAGUUUUAAUUGGAAGUUCUCUGAUGACUUUUGAUAGAGUAUCUUUUCAUGUGCUUAUUGGUUAUUUAUUUCUUCUUUAAAGAAGAGUCUAGAUCCUUUUCCCAUUUAAAAUUGCAUUGCUUCUAUUUUUACUGUUGAUUCUUAGAAGUUCUUUACAUAUUUUAGAUUUAUAUACAGUAAAUAUUUUCUCCCAGUCCAUGGCUUGCCUUUACCUUUUCUUAAUGGUGUCUUUUGAUUAACCAGACAUUUUAAAUUUUCAUGAAGCCUAUUGUAUCGGGGGUUGUUUUUGUUUGUUCAUUUAUGGUUAGUACUCUUUUUGGUGCUAGCCAGGAAAACUUUGCCUACAUUCUCCUAAGCUCAUGAAUAUAUUUUUCUAUAUUUGUUUCUAGGACAUUUAUAAUUCAAACUUUUAUGUUCUAGCCUAUCACUCAUGUAUAGUUAUGUAUAGUAUAAAUAAGGAUUGAAGUUCAUUUUUCUUUCCAUAUACUUAUCCAGUUAUUCCAGCACCAUUUGUUGAAAACACUUUCUUUCCCUCAUUGAAUUUCCUUGAAGCUUGUGCUCAUAACUUAUAUAACGAGUAUUGCGUUACAAUUUCCAUUAUAUUUCUUAAUUUUUCACUUAACACAAUGUUUAUAUGAUCUAUCCGCAAUGCUGUAUUCAGUCAUUUGAAUUCACUCAUUCAUUUUAUCAUUCAAUAAAUCUGCAGUGGUGAAGAAAACAGAACAUGGCUUUAUUCUCAUGAAAUUUAUAAUCUAGUGAGAGAUAUUGGCCAAAAAAAUUAUACACACACACCCAGGUAAUGAUAAGAGCUAUAAAGAGAAAUAAAGCAAGACAAACAGGAAGAGAUUUAACGGGAGGUGCUAUUUAAAUCGGGCAAUGGGUCAGGAAACCUUGCUCCUGGUCCUGACAUUGGAGGAGAGAGCCAUGGGCUCAUUCAGCCUUGAGUUGAGCAAUUGCUUCCAGAAGAGCUAAAAGGCCAGAGGGCCCAAAGGGUGGCAGAUGAAGGGGUGAAGGGCAAGAAAU
rnacentral:lncRNA from 1 species